UACAGAGGGUGCAAGCGUUGCUCGGAAUUAUUGGGCGUAAAGGGUAGGUAGGUGGUCUCGUUUGUCUGUGGUGAAAGCCUUGGGCUUAACCUAAGAAGUGCCGCAGAAACGGCGAGACUAGAGUUCUGGAGAGGGUCGUGGAAUUCCCGGUGUAGCGGUGAAAUGCGUAGAGAUCGGGAGGAACACCAGAGGCGAAAGCGGCGACCUGGACAGAUACUGACACUCAACUACGAAAGCGUGGGGAGCAAAC
rnacentral:rRNA from 1 species